GAGUUUGAUCAUGGCUCAGAUUGAACGCUGGCGGAAUGCUUUACACAUGCAAGUCGAACGGCAGCACGGGGGCAACCCUGGUGGCGAGUGGCGAACGGGUGAGUAAUACAUCGGAACGUGCCCAGUCGUGGGGGAUAACUACGCGAAAGCGUAGCUAAUACCGCAUACGAUCUACGGAUGAAAGCGGGGGAUCGCAAGACCUCGCGCGAUUGGAGCGGCCGAUGGCAGAUUAGGUAGUUGGUGGGGUAAAGGCCUACCAAGCCGACGAUCUGUAGCUGGUCUGAGAGGACGACCAGCCACACUGGGACUGAGACACGGCCCAGACUCCUACGGGAGGCAGCAGUGGGGAAUUUUGGACAAUGAGCGCAAGCCUGAUCCAGCCAUUCCGCGUGCAGGAUGAAGGCCCUCGGGUUGUAAACUGCUUUUGUACGGAACGAAACGGCCUCUUCUAAUACAGGAGGCUAAUGACGGUACCGUAAGAAUAAGCACCGGCUAACUACGUGCCAGCCGCCGCA
rnacentral:rRNA from 1 species